GCUCCGGUAGUAUAGCCCGGUCAAGUAUGGCGGCCUCUCGAGCCGCAGACCCGGGUUCAAAUCCCGGCCGGAGCACCA
rnacentral:tRNA from 1 species